rnacentral:rRNA from 1 species
GGGUUGUGAGGUUAAGCGACUAAGCGUACACGGUGGAUGCCCUGGCAGUCAGAGGCGAUGAAGGACGUGCUAAUCUGCGAUAAGCGUCGGUAAGGUGAUAUGAACCGUUAUAACCGGCGAUUUCCGAAUGGGGAAACCCAGUGUGUUUCGACACACUAUCAUUAACUGAAUCCAUAGGUUAAUGAGGCGAACCGGGGGAACUGAAACAUCUAAGUACCCCGAGGAAAAGAAAUCAACCGAGAUUCCCCCAGUAGCGGCGAGCGAACGGGGAGCAGCCCAGAGCCUGAAUCAGUGUGUGUGUUAGUGGAAGCGUCUGGAAAGGCGCGCGAUACAGGGUGACAGCCCCGUACACAAAAAUGCACAUAUUGUGAGCUCGAUGAGUAGGGCGGGACACGUGGUAUCCUGUCUGAAUAUGGGGGGACCAUCCUCCAAGGCUAAAUACUCCUGACUGACCGAUAGUGAACCAGUACCGUGAGGGAAAGGCGAAAAGAACCCCGGCGAGGGGAGUGAAAAAGAACCUGAAACCGUGUACGUACAAGCAGUGGGAGCCUCUUUAUGGGGUGACUGCGUACCUUUUGUAUAAUGGGUCAGCGACUUAUAUUCUGUAGCAAGGUUAACCGAAUAGGGGAGCCGAAGGGAAACCGAGUCUUAACUGGGCGUUAAGUUGCAGGGUAUAGACCCGAAACCCGGUGAUCUAGCCAUGGGCAGGUUGAAGGUUGGGUAACACUAACUGGAGGACCGAACCGACUAAUGUUGAAAAAUUAGCGGAUGACUUGUGGCUGGGGGUGAAAGGCCAAUCAAACCGGGAGAUAGCUGGUUCUCCCCGAAAGCUAUUUAGGUAGCGCCUCGUGAAUUCAUCUCCGGGGGUAGAGCACUGUUUCGGCAAGGGGGUCAUCCCGACUUACCAACCCGAUGCAAACUGCGAAUACCGGAGAAUGUUAUCACGGGAGACACACGGCGGGUGCUAACGUCCGUCGUGAAGAGGGAAACAACCCAGACCGCCAGCUAAGGUCCCAAAGUCAUGGUUAAGUGGGAAACGAUGUGGGAAGGCCCAGACAGCCAGGAUGUUGGCUUAGAAGCAGCCAUCAUUUAAAGAAAGCGUAAUAGCUCACUGGUCGAGUCGGCCUGCGCGGAAGAUGUAACGGGGCUAAACCAUGCACCGAAGCUGCGGCAGCGACGCUUAUGCGUUGUUGGGUAGGGGAGCGUUCUGUAAGCCUGUGAAGGUGUACUGUGAGGUAUGCUGGAGGUAUCAGAAGUGCGAAUGCUGACAUAAGUAACGAUAAAGCGGGUGAAAAGCCCGCUCGCCGGAAGACCAAGGGUUCCUGUCCAACGUUAAUCGGGGCAGGGUGAGUCGACCCCUAAGGCGAGGCCGAAAGGCGUAGUCGAUGGGAAACAGGUUAAUAUUCCUGUACUUGGUGUUACUGCGAAGGGGGGACGGAGAAGGCUAUGUUGGCCGGGCGACGGUUGUCCCGGUUUAAGCGUGUAGGCUGGUUUUCCAGGCAAAUCCGGAAAAUCAAGGCUGAGGCGUGAUGACGAGGCACUACGGUGCUGAAGCAACAAAUGCCCUGCUUCCAGGAAAAGCCUCUAAGCAUCAGGUAACAUCAAAUCGUACCCCAAACCGACACAGGUGGUCAGGUAGAGAAUACCAAGGCGCUUGAGAGAACUCGGGUGAAGGAACUAGGCAAAAUGGUGCCGUAACUUCGGGAGAAGGCACGCUGAUAUGUAGGUGAAGUCCCUCGCGGAUGGAGCUGAAAUCAGUCGAAGAUACCAGCUGGCUGCAACUGUUUAUUAAAAACACAGCACUGUGCAAACACGAAAGUGGACGUAUACGGUGUGACGCCUGCCCGGUGCCGGAAGGUUAAUUGAUGGGGUUAGCGCAAGCGAAGCUCUUGAUCGAAGCCCCGGUAAACGGCGGCCGUAACUAUAACGGUCCUAAGGUAGCGAAAUUCCUUGUCGGGUAAGUUCCGACCUGCACGAAUGGCGUAAUGAUGGCCAGGCUGUCUCCACCCGAGACUCAGUGAAAUUGAACUCGCUGUGAAGAUGCAGUGUACCCGCGGCAAGACGGAAAGACCCCGUGAACCUUUACUAUAGCUUGACACUGAACAUUGAGCCUUGAUGUGUAGGAUAGGUGGGAGGCUUAGAAGUGUGGACGCCAGUCUGCAUGGAGCCGACCUUGAAAUACCACCCUUUAAUGUUUGAUGUUCUAACGUGGACCCGUAAUCCGGGUUGCGGACAGUGUCUGGUGGGUAGUUUGACUGGGGCGGUCUCCUCCUAAAGAGUAACGGAGGAGCACGAAGGUUGGCUAAUCCUGGUCGGACAUCAGGAGGUUAGUGCAAUGGCAUAAGCCAGCUUGACUGCGAGCGUGACGGCGCGAGCAGGUGCGAAAGCAGGUCAUAGUGAUCCGGUGGUUCUGAAUGGAAGGGCCAUCGCUCAACGGAUAAAAGGUACUCCGGGGAUAACAGGCUGAUACCGCCCAAGAGUUCAUAUCGACGGCGGUGUUUGGCACCUCGAUGUCGGCUCAUCACAUCCUGGGGCUGAAGUAGGUCCCAAGGGUAUGGCUGUUCGCCAUUUAAAGUGGUACGCGAGCUGGGUUUAGAACGUCGUGAGACAGUUCGGUCCCUAUCUGCCGUGGGCGCUGGAGAACUGAGGGGGGCUGCUCCUAGUACGAGAGGACCGGAGUGGACGCAUCACUGGUGUUCGGGUUGUCAUGCCAAUGGCACUGCCCGGUAGCUAAAUGCGGAAGAGAUAAGUGCUGAAAGCAUCUAAGCACGAAACUUGCCCCGAGAUGAGUUCUCCCUGACCCUUUAAGGGUCCUGAAGGAACGUUGAAGACGACGACGUUGAUAGGCCGGGUGUGUAAGCGCAGCGAUGCGUUGAGCUAACCGGUACUAAUGAACCGUGAGGCUUAACCUUACAACGCCGAAGCUGUU